rnacentral:tRNA from 1 species
GCAGUGGUGGUUCAGUGGGAGAAUUCUCACCCGCCAUGCAGGAGACCCAGGUUCAGUUCCCGGCCACUGCA